rnacentral:rRNA from 1 species
GAUCAUGGCUCAGGAUGAACGCUAGCUACAGGCUUAACACAUGCAAGUCGAGGGGCAGCACGGUGUAGCAAUACACGGGUGGCGACCGGCGCACGGGUGCGUAACGCGUAUCCAACUUUCCCGUUACUCUCGGAUAGCCUUCCGAAAGGGAGAUUAAUACGAGAUGGUGUUCAGUUUCCGCAUGUUAACUGAACUAAAGAUUCAUCGGUAACGGAUAGGGAUGCGUGACAUUAGAUAGUUGGCGGGGUAACGGCCCACCAAGUCAACGAUGUCUAGGGGUUCUGAGAGGAAGGUCCCCCACACUGGAACUGAGACACGGUCCAGACUCCUACGGGAGGCAGCAGUGAGGAAUAUUGGUCAAUGGGCGUAGGCCUGAACCAGCCAAGUAGCGUGAAGGAUGAAGGUUCUAUGGAUUGUAAACUUCUUUAUACGGGAAUAACAUCACCUACGUGUAGGUGCCUGCAUGUACCGUAUGAAUAAGCAUCGGCUAACUCCGUG